GAUGAACGCUGGCGGCGUGCCUAACACAUGCAGGUCGAACGGAGAUUACGGACGGAAGUUUUCGGCUGGAAGACUGUACUUCUUAGUGGCGGAUGGGUGAGUAACGCGUGGGCAACCUGCCCUAUACAGGGGGAUAGCAGCUGGAAACGGCUGGUAAGACCGCAUAAGUCGGUUAAAUCGCAUGAUUUGAUCGGGAAAUUAGCAAUCAGGUAUAGGAUGGGCCCGCGUCCGAUUAGCCAGAUGGCAGGGUAAAAGCCUACCAAAGCGACGAUCGGUAGCCGGGCGGAGAGGUCGGACGGCCAGAUUGGGGCUGAGACACGGCCCAAACUCCUACGGGGGGGAGCAGUGGGGGAUAUUGCAGAAUGGAGGAAACUCUGAUGAAGCGACGCCGGGUGAGUGAAGAAGUAGUUCGGUAUGUAAUGCUCUAUCAGCAGAGGAGAGGAUGACGGUACCUGACUAAGAAGCCCCGGCUAACUACGUG
rnacentral:rRNA from 1 species